rnacentral:rRNA from 1 species
GACGAACGCUGGCGGCGUGCCUAACACAUGCAAGUCGAACGUAUCAGUGCUUCGGCGCUGAUGAGUGGCGAACGGGUGAGUAACACGUGAGUAACUUGCCCGGGGAGGGGGAUAACCAUCUGAAAAGAUGGCUAAUACCCCAUAUUCUCCUUUAUUGCCAGAUAAAGGAGGAAAGGUGGCGUAAGCUGUCGCCCCCGGAGAGGCUCGCGUCCCAUCAGCUAGUUGGUAGGGUAAUGGCUUACCAAGGCUAUGACGGGUAGCUGGUCUGAGAGGAUGGUCAGCCACACUGGGACUGAGACACGGCCCAGACUCCUACGGGAGGCAGCAGUGAGGAAUCUUGGGCAAUGGGCGAAAGCCUGACCCAGCGACGCCGCGUGGAGGAAGAAGGUCUUCGGAUCGUAAACUCCUGUUCGGGGAGAAGAACAAGAGAGAAGUUAAUAGCUUCUCUCUCUGACGGUAUCCCCGGAGAAAGCUCCGGCUAAUUACGUG